rnacentral:lncRNA from 1 species
UAAUCCCAGGAAUAGAUUACCUUAGCCGUAUUUGGCACAACUUUUUGGAAUUUUGGGUCUUCAAUUCUCUUCAACUUUUUACCUUUUUGGCUCUUUAAUCAUUUUGAUCUGAGCGUCACUGAUGAGUCCUAUGUAGACGAAACUCGCGUCUGGCGUAUUAAAUUAUAAUCCUGGUACCUUUGACAACUAUUCCCAACCCAUUCUAUAUUCAAGAGUUUGCAGCUGCUACUCAUACUUUAAAAAACGUCACCAGUUUCUGAGCAAAAUGUUAAUCAACCA